rnacentral:rRNA from 1 species
CACGUAGGGGGCAAGCGUUGUCCGGAUUUAUUGGGCGUAAAGAGCUCGUAGGUGGUUCGGUAAGUCGGGUGUUAAACCCCCAGGCUCAACCUGGGGACGCCACUCGAUACUGCUGUGACUUGAGUCCGGUAGGGGAGCGUGGAAUUCCUGGUGUAGCGGCGAAAUGCGCAGAUAUCAGGAGGAACACCAGCGGCGAAGGCGGCGCUCUGGGCCGGUACUGACACUGAGGAGCGAAAGCGUGGGUAGCAAACAGG